AUGAGUCAGGUGGCCAGCAUAGCGCAGCUUGCUGGGGUGGACGCGUAUGGGCUCAUCACGAUGAUCGUGGAGGCUGCAAGGACAGUUAGAAGGAACCGGGAAACCUGUCAGCUGCUGGCGCGGCGUGUGAAGAUGAUUGGAGACCUUCUCCAGCAACUCGAGAGCAUGCAGCUGAUGCAGCAUACAGAGACGAGAAACCCCGCCGAGCAGCUGGAGGAAACACUCCGGCAUACAUACAUGCUCAUCAGAGCUCAUCACAAUGAGAUUACCUUCUACAGCUGCUUUUUGGGAGGGAAGCAAGCUGACCAGCUCCAUCAGGUGCAGAAUGAGAUUACCUUCUACCUCCAGCUCUUCCCCCUCGUUAGCUUUGUCGAUACCAGUCGGACCUGGGCACGGCUUCUGCACAGAGCUCAUCCUCUCGGUACAGAGGUACAUAUAUUUGUCUCGCUUUUCUAG
rnacentral:rRNA from 1 species